rnacentral:rRNA from 1 species
AUGUGCUUGGCUGCUUGCCUGCUCCUCCUCUGCAUCUGUUUGCUCCCAAAUCUGCUUCUCCAUCCACAAGUGUUGCUGCAGCAGCGAGGUGUCCCUGCUCUGAUGGAUCCUAGGAGAAGAGCUACAUCAGAUGAUCCAGUUUGGAAGUAUGGGUUCUGGCCAGAUUUAGAGAGGAAAGAUUUACUCCAGUGUACAUUGUGUGGCAAGAUAGUCCAUGCUGGAGUGAGAAGGCUGAAGCAGCACCUUUCUGGGGGUUGUAGUGAUGCAGAUAUGUGUCCCGAGGCAUCUAUGGAGAUUAGGAUAGAGAAGCGCAAAUCCUUAAACACUAGAAAGUUUAAAGCUAUGGAGCGAUAUAUUGAUGAGAAGGAUGAAGCUGAAGUUCAAAGGCGCCGUUCUGUCAUAUACAGAAGAUGA